UACGAAGGGGGCUAGCGUUGUUCGGAAUCACUGGGCGUAAAGGGCGCGUAGGCGGCCGAUCAAGUCGGGGGUGAAAGCCUGUGGCUCAACCACAGAAUUGCCUUCGAUACUGUUUGGCUUGAGACCGGAAGAGGUGAGUGGAACUGCGAGUGUAGAGGUGAAAUUCGUAGAUAUUCGCAAGAACACCAGUGGCGAAGGCGGCUCACUGGUCCGGUACUGACGCUGAGGUGCGAAAGCGUGGGGAGCAAACAGG
rnacentral:rRNA from 1 species